GGGUCAGUAGGUUGGUCGUGCCACCGGUACGUACUGGUCUCACUGAUUCCUCCUUCCCGAAGAACCGUAAUGCCAUUAAUUUGGUGUUGCGGGGAAACAGGACUGUUACUUUGAAAAAAUUAGAGUGUUUAAAGCAAGCUAACGCUUGAAUACAUUAGCAUGGAAUAAUGAAAUAGGACGAUCGAUCCUAUUUUGUUGGUUUCUAGGAUUGACGUAAUGAUUGGAUAGUUGGG
rnacentral:rRNA from 1 species